rnacentral:misc_RNA from 1 species
AAGUCGUAACAAGGUUUCCGUAGGUGAACCUGCGGAAGGAUCAUUAACAAUUGUCCAUUUUCCUUUGCAUAUGGAUGGUUCAAAUCCAUAUCCACCUUCGUGUGCACCUCAUUGACAUGUUUGCUUUGGCAGUUUGCGGGAGAUCCUUUAUCGUUUCUCCGUGGAGAGGAGGGAACGAGAGAGAGAGGGAGGGAAGAAUAAACAACUUUCUUUUUCUCUCUCUCGCCUCCCUUCCUCCGGCGCUGCCAGAGUUUUUUCUUUUGUUUCACGUUGACAAACCUUUCUUGCUUUUUCUCAAAG